GACGAACGCUGGCGGCGUGCCUAAUACAUGCAAGUCGAACGAACCGCGACUAGGUGCUUGCACUUGGUCAAGGUGAGUGGCGAACGGGUGAGUAACACGUGGGUAACCUACCUCAUAGUGGGGGAUAACAGUCGGAAACGACUGCUAAUACCGCAUAGGACAUAGGAUCACAUGAUCCAGUGAGGAAAGGUGGCGCAAGCUAUCGCUAAGAGAUGGACCCGCGGUGCAUUAGCUAGUUGGUAGGGUAAAGGCCUACCAAGGCGAUGAUGCAUAGCCGACCUGAGAGGGUGAUCGGCCACAUUGGGACGGAGACACGGCCCAAACUCCUACGGGAGGCAGCAGUAGGGAAUCUUCCGCAAUGGACGCAAGUCUGACGGAGCAACGCCGCGUGAGUGAAGAAGGUCUUCGGAUCGUAAAGCUCUGUUGUUAGAGAAGAACAGCGCAUAGAGUAACUGUUAUGCGUGUGACGGUAUCUAACCAGAAAGCCACGGCUAACUACGUG
rnacentral:rRNA from 1 species